GCUGCAUGGCUGUCGGUCAGCUCGUGUCGUGAGAUGUUGGGUUAAGUCCCGCAACGAGCGCAACCCUCGUCUUUAGUUGCCAUCAUUAAGUUGGGCACUCUAAAGAGACUGCCGGUGUCAAACCGGAGGAAGGUGGGGAUGACGUCAAGUCCUCAUGGCCUUUAUGACCAGGGCUACACACGUACUACAAUGGCAGGUACAAAGGGCAGCCACUUAGCGAUAAGGCGCGAAUCCCAUAAAACCUGUCUCAGUCCGGAUUGGAGUCUGCAACUCGACUCCAUGAAGUUGGAAUCGCUAGUAAUCGCAGAUCAGCACGCUGCGGUGAAUACGUUCCCGGGCCUU
rnacentral:rRNA from 1 species